UAGGGAAUCUUCGGCAAUGGGGGCAACCCUGACCGAGCAACGCCGCGUGAGUGAAGAAGGUUUUCGGAUCGUAAAGCUCUGUUGUAAGAGAAGAACGAGUGUGAGAGUGGAAAGUUCACGCUGUGACGGUAUCUUACCAGAAAGGGACGGCUAACUACGUGCCAGCAGCCGCGGUAAUACGUAGGUCCCGAGCGUUGUCCGGAUUUAUUGGGCGUAAAGCGAGCGCAGGCGGUUAGAUAAGUCUGAAGUUAAAGGCUGUGGCUUAACCAUAGUACGCUUUGGAAACUGUUUAACUUGAGUGCAAGAGGGGAGAGUGGAAUUCCAUGUGUAGCGGUGAAAUGCGUAGAUAUAUGGAGGAACACCGGUGGCGAAAGCGGCUCUCUGGCUUGUAACUGACGCUGAGGCUCGAAAGCGUGGGGAGCAAACAGGAUUAGAUACCCUGGUAGUCCACGCCGUAAACGAUGAGUGCUAGGUGUUAGACCCUUUCCGGGGUUUAGUGCCGCAGCUAACGCAUUAAGCACUCCGCCUGGGGAGUACGACCGCAAGGUUG
rnacentral:rRNA from 1 species